rnacentral:rRNA from 1 species
GACGAACGCUGGCGGCGUGCUUAACACAUGCAAGUCGAGCGGUAAGGCCCUUCGGGUACGACGAGCGGCGAACGGGUGAGUAACACGUGGGUGACCUGCCUCUAGCUCUGGGAUAAGCCUGGGAAACUGGGUCUAAUACCGGAUAUGACUCCACGGCGCAUGUUGUGGGGUGGAAAGCCUUGUGUGGCUAGAGAUGGGCCCGCGGCCUAUCAGCUUGUUGGUGGGGUGAUGGCCUACCAAGGCGACGACGGGUAGCCGGCCUGAGAGGGCGACCGGCCACACUGGGACUGAGACACGGCCAGACUCCUACGGGAGGCAGCAGUGGGGAAUCUUGCGCAAUGGGCGAAAGCCUGACGCAGCGACGCCGCGUG